GGGCGGUUGGCGCAAUGGUAGCGCGUUGGUUUUCGGCACCAAAGGUUGUGGGUUCGAGCCCCAUGCUGCUCG
rnacentral:tRNA from 1 species